AUCGCUUCUCGGCCUUUUGGCUAAGAUCAAGUGUAGUAUAAACAGUGAUGGAGUCUCCUCUGCUACAUCCAAGAGUCAUUUAUUAGUUUGAAUCAUUCCUUCUUUGCUCUGGUUCACAAUAAAGACUAACAGAUGUCUGGACACCUGAUACCACACUCCACUCACUUUGAUAUCAUUAUCUCU
ensembl:snRNA U2 U2 spliceosomal RNA